AGGUGGGGCUAAUGACUGGGGUGAAGUCGUAACAAGGUAGCCGUACCGGAAGGUGCGGCUGGAUCACCUCCUAACAGGGAGACAACAAAAUGUAAAUAUUAAUUUUGUCACCUUAGGUCGAUCGGUAUCUCAGAUUCUUAAUUUUUAAGAAUUUCAUUUCCUAAGUUUUUUCUAGGUCACACCCAUCACUUUUUCCUGGGCCAUUAGCUCAGGUGGUUAGAGCGCACCCCUGAUAAGGGUGAGGUCCCUGGUUCAAGUCCAGGAUGGCCCAUAUCUCUAUGUUGGGGGUAUAGCUCAGUUGGUAGAGCGCCUGCUUUGCAAGCAGGAUGUCAGCGGUUCGAGUCCGCUUACCUCCACUGAAUACCACCUCUUACAUAUUUUUAAAGAGGGAAAUUGUUUUGAGUCGUGUCCUAUAGCUCUGAUCGAAUCUAGCUUCCUAUUUUAUUUAAUAAAUAAGAUGCUGGACUCACUGAAUUAUUAUUCAUUGUUUUCAGAGAACCUUGACAACUGCAUAGAUUAUUUUUGAAGACAAUAAGCAUCUUUAAUGAUGCAGAUUUAUUAUUUGUGCGAAUGCAUUAAAUAACAAUUCUAUUAAGCUGAUGCUUCAAUAUUUGAAGUUAUUGGUCAAGCUACAAAGGGCUCACGGA
rnacentral:misc_RNA from 1 species